CCCCCCUCAAGAUGAGAUUUCCCAUAGCGUAAGCUAGUAAGAUCCCUGAAAGAUGAUCAGGUUGAUAGGUUCGAGGUGGAAGCAUGGUGACAUGUGGAGCUGACGAAUACUAAUAGAUCGAGGACUUAACCAUAUAA
rnacentral:rRNA from 2 species